UACGAAGGGAGCUAGCGUUGUUCGGAAUCACUGGGCGUAAAGCGCACGUAGGCGGAUGUGUCAGUCAGGGGUGAAAUCCCGGAGCUCAACUUCGGAACUGCCUUUGAUACAGCACGUCUCGAGUCCGGAAGAGGUGGGUGGAAUUCCUAGUGUAGAGGUGAAAUCCGUAGAUAUUAGGAAGAACACCGGUGGCGAAGGCGGCCAACUGGUCCGGUACUGACGCUGAGGUGCGAAAGCGUGGGGAGCAAACAGG
rnacentral:rRNA from 1 species